rnacentral:rRNA from 1 species
UACGUAGGUGGCAAGCGUUGUCCGGAAUUACUGGGUGUAAAGGGAGCGCAGGCGGGAAGCCAGGUCAGCUGUGAAAACUACGGGCUUAACUUGUAGACUGCAGUUGAAACUGGUUUUCUUGAGUGAAGUAGAGGUUGGCGGAAUUCCGAGUGUAGCGGUGAAAUGCGUAGAUAUUCGGAGGAACACCGGUGGCGAAGGCGGCCAACUGGGCUUUAACUGACGCUGAGGCUCGAAAGUGUGGGGAGCAAACAGG